UCAGGUAAACCGAACUGACACUUGGACAACUCCAGCUUGGACGCUCAUACAUCUUUUUAUUGACAGGGGGCAACCAUUCCUGCUGGAACUAAGCACACGCACGAACGGCUGAGAAUUAGAACACCUCACGGCAGGCUCGUGCAGUCAUUUUGCCAUGACUUUAUUUGUUCACCAUACACCGAACAGGGCAAAAUAAUACAGAUUCAGUUUGGACAGACAGACAUCUGAUGACACAUACAGCGAAAACUCUCAUCAUUGAGUGACCCAGGACACAGCUAGGAGGAGUAUUUACAAUCAGGAACACACAGACUUGACAGAUAUCACAGACUAGGCAGUCCUCAACUAGUCAACUACAUGCGAAAACACAGCUAACUGUUCACAAACAUAACUCAUGAACGCAACAACUGAUGAACACAAAGCCAUUGUACAACCUAGAUGAACAAGCGGGCAACGCGCACUAGAAAAUUCUCAAACUGAACCAUACUGAAAGGCUUCAGGCGUGAUAUUGAGUUUCGGUCUAUAGGUCUGCAAUUUUCCGCAGGCUCGGCUGUGUCGCUUCUUCGACUUUCAGCGCUCAUACCUGAGGAGGAUGAGCCCUCACCAGAUAGCCCGUGCUCAGCAGCAAGUCGGCGGGCACCAUGUGCACCAGGGCAACCAAGCAGGCUAGAUAGCUCCGGCUCCCAACCAUCAGCAGGUUCAGUCAAAUCCGCCCACGGAGACCGCGGUGGUUCAAUUUCUUCGGCCACAUCCACUACCUCAGCUGAUUCAAUUUCUUCGGCCGUCAGCAAAUUAGAACAACAAAAGUACUAGCACUGGAAUUUCUUUUGUUUUUGCCAGCAAGGAUCAAAAGGUCAAAUCACUUCACAGUGCACAUCAUAUUCUCAGUUUGCAAACUACUCCCUCCGUCCCAUAAUGUAAGACGUUUUUUGACACUAAACUAGCGUAGUGUCAAAAAACGUCUUACAUUAUGAAACGGAGGGAGUAUUAUUGCUGCAUAUGUCGGAUCUAAAUACAGUCGGAUGGGAUUGAGGUUCGCACCUUUUCAUCCAUCCUGGGGCCUGGGGGGUUGACUCUGUACGUGGACUGCGCCGACCUAGUCGGUGAUGAUUUCCGACGCCGGCAGACUCUCUCGUGCUUUCUCAGGUCCGUCUUCCCUGAGCUGCUAACCGCAGCCAGACCCAUCAUUUGAGUCUUCGGGGUCGCUACGGUUCGUUUCUCCCGUGGGAAGCAACAUCAGGGGAACCUCGUAAUGGUUUUGGCCGAAUGCGAAACAAAUCACACAAAAUACCCAGAUCUACAAGAACGGACCUGUCGACGGCGUCGAGAAGAAACUCCAUACCCACAUCCUCCAUUAUCCUUGUCCCGGGGUGGCCGGAAGUAUCG
rnacentral:lncRNA from 1 species